GACCUGAUGGCACCAUGGUUAGUGCGUCUGCUCAACGUGUGGCAUUAGGCUGUGUAUGCAGAACAUCCCGGUUCGAAUCCGGGUCAGGCCA